GCCCUGAUCGUCUAGAGGCCAAGGAUACCACCCUCUCACGGUGGAGACCCGAGUUCAAAUCUCGGUCAGGGCA
rnacentral:tRNA from 1 species